CCUGUAAUGUCAUUCGCAUGACCUUGUUUAUCAAUCGAAGCGCCCUCUACCAUUAAGAAAAAACCUUUUUUGUUUUUAGAUAAUUUGUUUAAUGCUGUUUCUUG
rnacentral:sRNA from 1 species